CCCUUAGAUGUUCUGGGCUGCACGCGCGCUACACUGAUGCACUCAACGAGUUUACGACCUUGUCCGAGAGGAUUGGGUAAUCUUUUUAAAAUGCAUCGUGACGGGGAUAGAUUAUUGCAAUUAUUAAUCUUCAACGAGGAAUGCCUAGUAGGCGCAAGUCAUCAGCUUGCGUCGAUUACGUCCCUGCCCUUUGUACACACCGCCCGUCGCUCCUACCGAUUGGGUGUGCUGGUGAAAUGUUCGGAUCGGCCGUUUGUCGCGGUUUCCGCGUCAUGUGGCUGAGAAGUUCAUUAAACCCUCCCACCUAGAGGAAGGAGAAGUCGUAACA
rnacentral:rRNA from 1 species